UAAAUAGUUAUGAUGGGAAAAAGCUAUAUAAAUUUAGUUACAGAGAGCCAAUGGUUGCUGAGAAUUGGUGCUAAUGAUAUAGGCAAUACUCACCCCUGAACAUAAAAACUGAAACCUAAGUAAGUUUUUACGGUAACAUCCGUUAUAAUGUAAGAGUUUUAUAGGAACUUUCAAAGGCCAUAAAUACAUUUAGUUUGUGGUGAAGUAGAGUGGUACAGCGUUAGUAUACGCCUCUAUA
rnacentral:ncRNA from 1 species